rnacentral:rRNA from 1 species
AUACGGAGGGUGCAAGCGUUAUUCGGAAUCACAGGGCGUAAAGGACGCGUAGGCGGGUUGGCAAGUCAGAUGUGAAAUCCUACAGCUUAACUGUAGAACUGCAUUUGAAACUGCUAACCUAGAGUAUGGGAGGGGGAGAUGGAAUUAGUGGUGUAGGGGUAAAAUCCGUAGAUAUCACUAGGAAUACCGAAAGCGAAGGCGAUCUCCUGGAACAUAACUGACGCUAAGGCGUGAAAGCGUGGGGAGCAAACAGGAUUAGAUACCCCAGUAGUCC